GACGAACGCUGGCGGCGUGCUUAACACAUGCAAGUCGAACGGAAAGGCCCUGCUUUUGUGGGGUGCUCGAGUGGCGAACGGGUGAGUAACACGUGAGUAACCUGCCCUUGACUUUGGGAUAACUUCAGGAAACUGGGGCUAAUACCGGAUAGGAGCUCCUGCUGCAUGGUGGGGGUUGGAAAGUUUCGGCGGUUGGGGAUGGACUCGCGGCUUAUCAGCUUGUUGGUGGGGUAGUGGCUUACCAAGGCUUUGACGGGUAGCCGGCCUGAGAGGGUGACCGGCUACAUUGGGACUGAGAUACGGCCCAGACGCCUACGGGAGGCAGCAGUGGGGAAUAUUGCACAAUGGGCGGAAGCCUGAUGCAGCAACGCCGCGUGCGGGAUGACGGCCUUCGGGUUGUAAACCGCUUUCGCCUGUGACGAAGCGUGAGUGACGGUAAUGGGUAAAGAAGCACCGGCUAACUACGUG
rnacentral:rRNA from 1 species